UGUAGGUCUGUGAAGGUGUCUCGUAAGGGAUGCUGGAGAUAUCAGAAGUGCGAAUGCUGACAUGAGUAGCGAUAAAGGGCGUGAAAAGCGCCCUCGCCGAAAGCCCAAGGUUUCCUACGCAACGUUCAUCGGCGUAGGGUGAGUCGGCCCCUAAGGCGAGGCUGAAAAGCGUAGUCGAUGGGAAACAGGUCAAUAUUCCUGUACCUUAUACAAGUGCGAUGUGGGGACGGAGAAGGUUAGGUCAGCCGGGUGUUGGACGUCCCGGUUUAAGCGUGUAGGCGUGCCCCUUAGGCAAAUCCGGGGGGCUGAGCUGAGGCGUGAUGACGAGGAACCACGGUUCCGAAGUGAUUGAUACCAAGCUUCCAGGAAAAGCCACUAAGCUUCAGCUUGUAUGAGACCGUACCGCAAACCGACACAGGUGGGCAGGAUGAAAAUUCUAAGGCGCUUGAGAGAACUCAGGAGAAGGAACUCGGCAAAUUGACACCGUAACUUCGGGGAGAAGGUGUG
rnacentral:rRNA from 1 species